rnacentral:rRNA from 7 species
UUAAAUUGAAGAGUUUGAUCAUGGCUCAGAUUGAACGCUGGCGGCAGGCCUAACACAUGCAAGUCGAACGGUAGCACAGAGAGCUUGCUCUCG